GGAAUAUUGCACAAUGGGCGCAAGCCUGACCCAGCAACGCCGCGUGAAGGAUGAAGUAUUUCGGUAUGUAAACUUCGAAAGAAUGGGAAGAAUAAAUGACGGUACCAUUUAUAAGCUCCGGCUAACUACGUGCCAACAGCCGCGGUAAUACGUAGGUGGCAAGCGUUGUCCGGAUUUAUUGGGUUUAAAGGGUGCGUAGGCGGCUUUGUAAGUCAGUGGUGAAAUAUGGCAGCUCAACUGUCAGGGUGCCAUUGAUACUGCGGAGCUUGAGUACAGAUGAGGUAGGCGGAAUUGACGGUGUAGCGGUGAAAUGCUUAGAUAUCGUCAAGAACACCGAUAGCGAAGGCAGCUUACUAGGCUGUAACUGACGCUGAGGCACGAAAGUGUGGGGAUCAA
rnacentral:rRNA from 1 species